rnacentral:rRNA from 1 species
UACGGAGGGUGCAAGUGUUAUCCGGAAUCACUGGGCGUAAAGCGUCUGUAGGUGGUUUAAAAAGUCUGCUGUUAAAAAUUGAAGCUUAACUUCAAAGGUGCCGUAGAAACUUUUAAACUUGAGGAUGGUAGGGGUAGAGGGAAUUUCCAGUGGAGCGGUGAAAUGCGUAGAUCUUGGAAAGACCACCAAUGGCGAAGGCACUCUACUGGGCCAUGACUGACACUGAGAGACGAAAGCUAGGGGAGCAAAUGGG